rnacentral:rRNA from 1 species
CAAGUCGAGCGAUCCCGCAAGGGAUAGCGGCAAACGGGGUAGGAACACGUAAAUAAUCUUCCCUCGAUCCUGACAUAGCCCUAUGAAAAUAGGGGUAAUAUCAGAUGACACCGUGAAAAGGCAUCUUUUUACGUUUAAAGUAGGGGACCGCAAGGCCUUACGAUCAUGGAUGAGUUUGCGUAGCAUCAGCUAGUUGGUAGGGUAACGGCCUACCAAGGCUAAGACGCUUAGCUGGUCUGAGAGGACGGCCAGCACCACUGGGACUGAGACACUGCCCAGACUCCUACGGGAGGCUGCAGUCGAGAAUAUUUAGCAAUGGGCGAAAGCCUGACUAUGCGACGCCGCGUGAGGGAUGAAGGACUUCGGUUCGUAAACCUCUUUUGGCAGGGAAGAAAAAGUUGCAUCUAACACAUGCAAAACUGACGGUACCUGCAGAAUAAGCCACGGCCAACUCCGUGCCAGCAGCCGCGGUAAUACGGAGGUGGCAAGCGUUACUCGGAAUUAUUGGGUGUAAAGGGCAAGUAGGCGGCUUGGCAAGCGGGGGGUGAAAUACUCCGGCUCAAUCGGAGAACUGCCUUCCGAACUGCCAGGCUUGGGUGUGACAGAGGAAAAUGGAAUUCUCGGUGUAAGGGUGAAAUCUGUAGAUAUCGAGAAGAACACCAGCGGCGAAGGCGAUUUUCUGGGUCACUACCGACGCUAAAUUGCGAAAGCUAGGGGAGCAAACAGAAUUAGAUACUCUGGUAGUCCUAGCCGUAAACGAUGAGCACUAGAUGUCGGUCCCUUUAGGGGAUCGGUGUCGCAGCUAACGCAUUAAGUGCUCCACCUGGGGACUACGGUCGCAAGGCUAAAACUCAAAGGAAUUGACGGGGGCCCGCACAAGCGGUGGAACAUGUGGUUUAAUUCGAAGCUACGCGAAGAACUCACCAGGGCUUGACAUAUAGGAAGUAGUGAAA